UACGUAGGGGGCUAGCGUUGUCCGGAAUCAUUGGGCGUAAAGCGCGUGUAGGCGGUCCGGUAAGUCCGCUGUGAAAGUCCAGGGCUCAACCCUGGAAUGCCGGUGGAAACUGUCGGGCUGGAGUCCGGAAGAGGCAAGUGGAAUUCCUGGUGUAGCGGUGAAAUGCGCAGAUAUCAGGAGGAACACCAAUGGCGAAGGCAGCUCGCUGGGACGGUACUGACGCUGAGACGCGAAAGCGUGGGGAGCAAACAGG
rnacentral:rRNA from 1 species